AUUCCAGCUCCAAUAGCGUAUAUUAAAGUUGUUGCAGUUAAAAAGCUUGUAGUUGGAUUUCGGAACCGGCCGAUUGGUCCGUCCUCUGGAUCGUGUACUGAUCGGUCUGUUCUUCUUCGCGAAGACCGCGUGUGCCCUUAACUGGGUGGGCGCGGGAUUCGCGACGUUUACUUUGAAAAAAUUAGAGUGUUCAAAGCAGGCAGUCGCUUGAAUAUCUCAGCAUGGAAUAAUAGAAUAGGACUUUGGUCUUAUUUUGUUGGUUUCCGAGACCGAAGUAAUGAUUAAUAGGGACAGUUGGGGGCAUUCGUAUUUCAUUGUCAGAGGUGAAAUUCUUGGAUUUAUGAAAGACGAACUUCUGCGAAAGCAUUUGCCAAGGAUGUUUUCAUUA
rnacentral:rRNA from 1 species